rnacentral:rRNA from 1 species
UUAAGUUAUUAAGGGCGCACGGUGGAUGCCUUGGCACUAGAAGCCGAUGAAGGACGUUACUAACGACGAUAUGCUUUGGGGAGCUGUAAGUAAGCUUUGAUCCAGAGAUUUCCGAAUGGGGAAACCCAGCAUGAGUUAUGUCAUGUUAUCGAUAUGUGAAUACAUAGCAUAUCAGAAGGCACACCCGGAGAACUGAAACAUCUUAGUACCCGGAGGAAGAGAAAGAAAAUUCGAUUCCCUUAGUAGCGGCGAGCGAAACGGGAAGAGCCCAAACCAACAAGCUUGCUAAGGGGAGUGAAAUAGAACCUGAAACCGUGUGCUUACAAGUAGUCAGAGCCCGUUAAUGGGUGAUGGCGUGCCUUUUGUAGAAUGAACCGGCGAGUUACGAUUUGAUGCAAGGUUAAGCAGUAAAUGUGGAGCCGUAGCGAAAGCGAGUCUGAAUAGGGCGUUUAGUAUUUGGUCGUAGACCCGAAACCAGGUGAUCUACCCUUGGUCAGGUUGAAGUUCAGGUAACACUGAAUGGAGGACCGAACCGACUUACGUUGAAAAGUGAGCGGAUGAACUGAGGGUAGCGGAGAAAUUCCAAUCGAACCUGGAGAUAGCUGGUUCUCUCCGAAAUAGCUUUAGGGCUAGCCUCAAGUGAUGAUUAUUGGAGGUAGAGCACUGUUUGGACGAGGGGCCCCUCUCGGGUUACCGAAUUCAGACAAACUCCGAAUGCCAAUUAAUUUAACUUGGGAGUCAGAACAUGGGUGAUAAGGUCCGUGUUCGAAAGGGAAACAGCCCAGACCACCAGCUAAGGUCCCAAAAUAUAUGUUAAGUGGAAAAGGAUGUGGCGUUGCCCAGACAACUAGGAUGUUGGCUUAGAAGCAGCCAUCAUUUAAAGAGUGCGUAAUAGCUCACUAGUCGAGUGACACUGCGCCGAAAAUGUACCGGGGCUAAACAUAUUACCGAAGCUGUGGAUUGUCCUUUGGACAAUGGUAGGAGAGCGUUCUAAGGGCGUUGAAGCAUGAUCGUAAGRACAUGUGGAGCGCUUAGAAGUGAGAAUGCCGGUGUGAGUAGCGAAAGACGGGUGAGAAUCCCGUCCACCGAUUGACUAAGGUUUCCAGAGGAAGGCUCGUCCGCUCUGGGUUAGUCGGGUCCUAAGCUGAGGCCGACAGGCGUAGGCGAUGGAUAACAGGUUGAUAUUCCUGUACCACCUAUAAUCGUUUUAAUCGAUGGGGGGACGCAGUAGGAUAGGCGAAGCGUGCGAUUGGAUUGCACGUCUAAGCAGUAAGGCUGAGUAUUAGGCAAAUCCGGUACUCGUUAAGGCUGAGCUGUGAUGGGGAGAAGACAUUGUGUCUUCGAGUCGUUGAUUUCACACUGCCGAGAAAAGCCUCUAGAUAGAAAAUAGGUGCCCGUACCGCAAACCGACACAGGUAGUCAAGAUGAGAAUUCUAAGGUGAGCGAGCGAACUCUCGUUAAGGAACUCGGCAAAAUGACCCCGUAACUUCGGGAGAAGGGGUGCUCUUUAGGGUUAACGCCCAGAAGAGCCGCAGUGAAUAGGCCCAAGCGACUGUUUAUCAAAAACACAGGUCUCUGCUAAACCGUAAGGUGAUGUAUAGGGGCUGACGCCUGCCCGGUGCUGGAAGGUUAAGAGGAGUGGUUAGCUUCUGCGAAGCUACGAAUCGAAGCCCCAGUAAACGGCGGCCGUAACUAUAACGGUCCUAAGGUAGCGAAAUUCCUUGUCGGGUAAGUUCCGACCCGCACGAAAGGCGUAACGAUUUGGGCACUGUCUCAACGAGAGACUCGGUGAAAUCAUAGUACCUGUGAAGAUGCAGGUUACCCGCGACAGGACGGAAAGACCCCGUGGAGCUUUACUGUAGCCUGAUAUUGAAAUUCGGCACAGCUUGUACAGGAUAGGUAGGAGCCUUUGAAACGUGAGCGCUAGCUUACGUGGAGGCGCUGGUGGGAUACUACCCUAGCUGUGUUGGCUUUCUAACCCGCACCACUUAUCGUGGUGGGAGACAGUGUCAGGCGGGCAGUUUGACUGGGGCGGUCGCCUCCUAAAAGGUAACGGAGGCGCUCAAAGGUUCCCUCAGAAUGGUUGGAAAUCAUUCAUAGAGUGUAAAGGCAUAAGGGAGCUUGACUGCGAGACCUACAAGUCGAGCAGGGUCGAAAGACGGACUUAGUGAUCCGGUGGUUCCGCAUGGAAGGGCCAUCGCUCAACGGAUAAAAGCUACCCCGGGGAUAACAGGCUUAUCUCCCCCAAGAGUUCACAUCGACGGGGAGGUUUGGCACCUCGAUGUCGGCUCAUCGCAUCCUGGGGCUGUAGUCGGUCCCAAGGGUUGGGCUGUUCGCCCAUUAAAGCGGUACGCGAGCUGGGUUCAGAACGUCGUGAGACAGUUCGGUCCCUAUCCGUCGUGGGCGUAGGAAAUUUGAGAGGAGCUGUCCUUAGUACGAGAGGACCGGGAUGGACAUACCUCUGGUGUACCAGUUGUCGUGCCAACGGCAUAGCUGGGUAGCUAUGUGUGGACGGGAUAAGUGCUGAAAGCAUCUAAGCAUGAAGCCCCCCUCAAGAUGAGAUUUCCCAACUUCGGUUAUAAGAUCCCUCAAAGAUGAUGAGGUUAAUAGGUUCGAGGUGGAAGCAUGGUGACAUGUGGAGCUGACGAAUACUAAUCGAUCGAAGACUUAAUCAA